rnacentral:rRNA from 1 species
UACCAGCACCCCGAGUGGUCGGGACGUUUAUUGGGCCUAAAGCAUCCGUAGCCGGUUCUACAAGUCUUCCGUUAAAUCCACCUGCUUAACAGAUGGGCUGCGGAAGAUACUAUGGAGCUAGGAGGCGGGAGAGGCAAGCGGUACUCGAUGGGUAGGGGUAAAAUCCGUUGAUCCAUUGAAGACCACCAGUGGCGAAGGCGGCUUGCCAGAACGCGCUCGACGGUGAGGGAUGAAAGCUGGGGAGCAAACCGG